rnacentral:lncRNA from 1 species
CUCUUAACUUGCAUCACAUGCACACACCCACACACACCCUGUUUAAACAUUCAUCUUCACUCUGGUCUGCUGAUCCUACCUUCACACAGCUGCCAGAAUCUUCCUCAAGCACAAUCUAAGCAUAUUGACUUCUGGACUCAAAAAACUCCAAGGAUUAUCAGAAAAAAGGGAAAUAGGAAGAAAGAAAAAAACCAAGAACACCGAAAAUAGCGAUGCCGUAAGUU